CCUUCUGAGGUAGAUAAUAAUGAUAACCUGACUGCUGAUGAAGAUGAUCUUGAUCUAAAUAUAGAUGACAUUGACAUAGAUGAUCAUGAAGAAAAACACAGA